rnacentral:lncRNA from 10 species
GGCCUCCAUCUUGAAAACGGAAAAUAAAAACAGCAGACCUAUGAAGGUCGAAGGGGAAGAAAAGCUGUAUCGAUUGUUGAGAUCUGGCGACUUGUUUAAAUUUCAUCAGCCUCACUUCUAUGAACUCUCAGAGCUGAUUACCAACUCCUACCACUGUUAACCCUCAUCCAGGAACAAGCUUAUGUCUUUAACAUUCUGAGUGGGCUUCAGCAUCCUUGCAUAUGUUCAAUUCUUAAAAACCUGUUGAAAUAAAAGAUCAGGAGACAUAGGAAGGAUGCCAGAAGAGAGCGUGGCCUCACGUGUACCAGCUCUCUGCUCUCCUUUGCCUUGGGACGUUCCAUCCCUGGAAGUUUCCCUGCCCACAUCUUUGUAGAGAGUCCAUUCUCCAAGCUUCAGUGUGUCAUCUGUGAGGACCGUGACCCACCUGGUACAUCGCCUCAGGGCAUUCAUUUCAGGCUCCUUCUAAAUGGCCAAGGAUCUUGGAAGCAGAGGGAUCUGCAGAAGUGCUUGCAACACUUUCAGCCUUAACCAGCAUCAGAGACAAAAAUCCUUUCUGGAAUGAGUCUUCUGCCAGCCUAACAAGCAUAGCAAGAAGAUAUAGCCCCACAACCACUUUAUGCACAAAGUUAGAAGCAUAAAAUCUCAUGGAAGGAGACCGAUUAUCUACAGAAGAGGUUGUCUUGCCAUUUCUCUCAUGUUAGAGGUAAACCUCAGGUUCUCCUCCUGCCUUUUGCUAAGUAUAUGUCUUGAUGACAAGCCUUCUGCUGAUGAGCUGUGUUUCUGGACCGAUCAUGGUAGAAGUCAAUUAACGUGUCCCUCACUUGGGGUUUCUCAAGGCUGCACUGAUGAGGAAACUGAAACAGAAAAUCCAGAGUAAAUUCCACCAGGCCACACAGCAAGGUCUGAUAGAGCCAGGAGAGACUUUAUGAAAUCCAGACUCUCACACUAAUGCUCUAUCAGCUAGACCUCCAUGUGAGUCUCCCCAAUGUAGGUAGGAAGUGCUUUCCC